CCCAGUGUCAGUGCGAAACAUUCACAUUCGUAGAUCGUGACGAAGAAUCGUUCCAAAAGCCAGUGUUCUGCGCAAAUUAUAAUCAGCAAGAUGGCAGCUAGUCAGUACUAUCACAUACAGUGCACACCCACCGUGUAUCCGGCUGAUCCUUUCGAUGCCGAAGCAGAUGCCAAUUUAUUACGAUCUGCAAUGAAGGGUUUCGGGACUGAUGAGCAGGCCGUAUUGGACGUCUUGGCUCAUCGCGGUAUCGUACAGCGACUAGAAAUUGCCGACAAAUUUAAGACAAUGUACGGCAAGGACCUCAUUUCCGAGUUGAAGUCAGAGUUGUCCGGAAACUUUGAAAAAGCCAUCGUGGGUCUAAUGACGCCUCUUCCCGAGUAUUACGCCAAGGAGUUGCAUGAUGCUAUUUCCGGCAUGGGCACCGACGAGGGUGCACUCAUCGAAGUCCUUGCAUCCCUGAGCAAUUAUGGUAUCAAGACGAUAUCGGCUGUUUAUAAGGACCUGUACGAUACAGAGCUGGAAGACGACCUCAAAAGCGAUACCUCUGGUUAUUUCAAGAGGCUUUUGGUAUCGUUGUCUUGCGCUAGUAGAGACGAGAGUCCAGACGUCGAUGAGGAGGCCGCACGUCAGGAUGCCGAGAGGCUUCAAGCUGCGGGUGAGGGACAGUGGGGCACCGACGAAAGCAUUUUCAACGCAAUUCUCAUUACUAAGAGUUUUCCUCAAUUGCGACGGAUCUUCAAAGAAUACGAGCACCUCACCGGAGACACCUUGAAACAUGCUAUCAAGCGAGAAUUCUCUGGUUCUGUCGAAGAUGGCUACUUAGCUGUGGUGAAAUGCGCCUCCGAUAAGACUGCUUAUUUCGCGGAAAGAUUGUACAAAGCUAUGCGCGGAAUGGGCACGAACGAUUCGACAUUGAUACGCAUUAUUGUGACACGAUCAGAGAUUGAUCUGGGCGACAUUAAGGAUGCCUAUGAGAGACUUUAUGGAAAAUCUCUUGCGGAAGCUAUCGACGACGACUGUUCAGGCGACUACAAGAGACUCUUGCUUACCCUUGUCGGAUGAAAAUAUUUCAAUCGUGCAACAGACGCUUUUGUUGAAAAUACUUUAAUGUCGCGGAGAUUAUAUAGCGCUUCAUUGUAUUCUGCAAAGAUUUUGAUUAUUGAAUUUAGUUUCUUACGUUUCGUUGGCUGUUAAUGAACGAUUGCACCGCCGAGUGGAAAAGAUUAUUGAUAGCAAUGUUGAAUUAAAGAGUAUACCUAUAAUACAUGCGAAAUA
rnacentral:misc_RNA from 1 species